UACGGGGGGGGCAAGCGUUGUCCGGAAUCACUGGGCGUAAAGCGCGCGCAGGCGGUCAUCUACGUCUGGGGUGAAAGCCCGGAGCUCAACUCCGGGAUUGCCUUGGAUACGGGAUGACUUGAGGAUCGGAGAGGCAAGGGGAAUUCCACGUGUAGCGGUGAAAUGCGUAGAGAUGUGGAGGAACACCUGUGGCGAAGGCGCCUUGCUGGCCGAUUUCUGACGCUGAGGCGCGAAAGCGUGGGGAGCAAACAGG
rnacentral:rRNA from 1 species